rnacentral:lncRNA from 1 species
CUGCUAUUGGUGUUCUGUGCAUUCAUGUUUUUCUGAGAUGUACUGUGUGUCCUGAUUUAAAUGAGACUUUUCCAGCUUUCAAGGACUGGCUUAGUAAAACCGGCUUAGAAAUUUGUUUUCUCUCUCACCUGGAGCCAUUCACGCCUGUUCCUGUUAUGCAGUUCAUGACCUGGUUGAUUGUGCUGAUGCAAGUGUCUGUGGGCGUCCACUGUAAAUUGAGUCACUCCAGCAGUCUGAAUUAAGAGGAAAAUCCCCUCUAUAAGGAGAAGCCAGAAGAUUUUCAGUACAGCUGCUUCUGAUGAUGGAGACUUUCCACUAACUCUUGAAACUGAGAUCAAACGGACUCAUGAAAUAUCUUGAGGCAAGCAGCAAAAUCCUGACCCCGCGGAAAGUGCAAUGUGGCAGGGGCUAUAGCUCUGGGUUUCUCAGCAAGGCAAAGCUGCAACCGAGAACAAGCCAGGGUUGGCUCCAGUGGCAGCCUGGAGGGGCUGGAGGCGCUGCCCGCAACGUGGUGUCUCCCACGUCUCGUGUUUGGCCUGAUGUCCUCAACUUUCCCCAUGCGCCCCCAGCAAACCCAGUCCAGGGAUGGCCUGUCCCAUGCGAGGAGUAAAAGAUAUGCCACGUGUCUUGGAAAGCUGCAGUCCUCUUUUCACAUCUGUAUCAACAGUUUCCGGUCGACGUUCAUCACGCUGUUCUGAAAUACAAAGUCUAUGUCAGUCUUUUGUUAUUAGGUGCAAAGCGCUAUUUAAGUAAAGAUUACUAGAUGAAGUCACAGCCUAUACGAUAGGUAAAAACUAUGUAUAAGUGAAAUAAAUGUAAUAAAUUUACUGAUGAUGGGAGAAGU